UCCCUGGAGGACUAGAGGUUAGGCCACAGCACUCUCACUGCCGUGGCCCGGGUUCAAUUCCCGCCACUGGGGCU
rnacentral:tRNA from 1 species